GCUCUCGUAGGUCUGGUUGGUGAUGUCCAUACCUGCACAGCUCCAGCGCGGCGGGGGGGGCAGGCGGGGGGGGGGCUGGCAGCCAGUGGUGAGGGGCCCUUGAAUGAGCGCUGCAGGGGGCUCACCUUCUCCUCCAGCUCAUCCUCGCUGUCAUAGGUGUACUCCUGGGGUGGUUCCCAGUCGUAGUCCACGUGGACCUGCAGGGAGAGCUUCCCCGCCUGCGCCUGCUCCAGCAGCUCCUCGCACUCGCUGUGCUUCAGCCUCCUUGCCACGUCCAGCGCCGUCUCACCCG
rnacentral:lncRNA from 1 species